CAAUAGCGUAUAUUAAAGUUGUUGCGGUAAAAAAGCUCGUAGUUGGAUUUCUAACGAAGAUAGCCGGUCGGGUCUUCGACCUUGUAUCUGGUUUUGUCUUUGGUAUCCUCAUAGGGAACGUUUCUGCGCUUUAUUGCGUGGUGCGGUAUCUAUGACUUUUACUUUGAGGAAAUUAGAGUGUUCACGGCAGGCAAACGCCUUGAAUAUAUUAGCAUGGAAUAAUAACAUAGGAUCUUCGUCCUAUUUUGUUGGUUUCUAGGGCUAAGAUAAUGAUUAAUAGGGAUAAUUGGGGGCAUCUGUAUCAACGCGUCAGAGGUGGAAUUCUUGGAUUGCGUUGCGACAAACUACUGCGAAAGCAUUUGCCAAGGAUGUUUUCAUUGA
rnacentral:rRNA from 1 species